GUGUUGCUCGCAUCAAUCCACCUGUUCGCGCGUUUGUAUAUGAUGUGCUCCCUUCUCUCCUCUCAAACGAAUGGAGCAUCCACCAGUUCGCCUCCUCUGGGUGGUUUUGCACAUCAAAUAAGCCGUCGGCAUUUUAUUUUGAUUGCUUUUUCCACAAACAAUGUUUUUCUGAAGACACCAGCCUUGCAGUCAAGACGGCGAACACAGCGGCUUCUCGUUGCGUGGACUGAUUUCGAACCAGUUUGGAAUUCUGACUCACAACACCACCGCGUGAAAGACGCAGUGGACGCGCCACUGUGAGGCUUUUCUUUUCUUUUUCCAUUUUUAUUUCUUUUUCUGCCUUUUAUUCCUUGACAUGGGCGAAGUCGUGGUACCGGUGCCACCUCGCCUUCUCGUGGCAGUGUGACAACUUUAUUGUUCAUCAUUGCCCUCUUUUUUUUUUCCUCCUCUUAAUGGGAUCGCGCUUUUUCCGGGGAAUUACCCGUCGUUUCCUUCCCCAAUUAUGUUCACUUUUGCUGCCUUCUGCUAUAUGCUGUCUCUGGUUCUCUGCGUGUCCCUCAUCUUCUUCGCAAUAUGGCAUAUAACAGCUUUCGAUGAGCUCCAGGCGGACUUUAAGGUGCCCAUCGAUCAAGGCAAUCCACUCCAUGCGAGAGAGAGACUGCGAAACAUCGAAAGGAUCUGCAACCUGCUGAGGAAGUUGGUGCUUCCAGAGUACUCGAUCCACGUACUCUUCUGUAUCAUGUUCCUGUGUGCCCAAGAAUGGCUGACUGUGGGCCUCAACAUCCCUUUGCUCUUCUACAACACAUGGAGUAGGUACUUCCAUUCCCCAACGGAUACCAAGGAGUUGAUCUACGAUCCGGCUUCGGUAAUGAACGGCGACACCCUCAAGUUCUGCCUGAAGGAGGCCUGGUGCAAGCUGUCCUUCUUUGUCCUGUCCUUCUUCUACUAUCUCUAUUGUGUGUGGAACCUGGAAAUAUCCCUCUAAUAGCUCUUACAAAUGGGAACACUUAAAAAGCUCAUACUGGACGUACUUGGUGUUUUAAACGACCGCUGGCAGCAACAAAAGCAGCACUGAGGUAUCUUUAAGAAAUGCUAGUAUGGUCUACUCCCUGGUUACCUCAUAACUGACCGAAGAGACAAAAAAAAGCCUCUGGAUACACAAACUGCCAUUUUUACAAGAGUGCUUUUUUUUUUUUUUUUGUGCCAGAGACAUAAACGCUUCCCUUUCAACUCGAAAGGGAUUCAUGCUCGACUAUACAUACAAAACUACCAUUCACAGUUUGAUUGGUCAGAACGAGUUGAUGUGAACUCUUGCAUAUAAACAUUCACGUGAACAGCUUCCUCUAGGUUGGUGCAAUUAAUUUACUGUUUGGUAGCAGUGAUGGUAGCGCACAGGAUGAAAAGCACAGUAGCAUUUGCACAGUUUGUCUCAGGCACAGCAGAUCCAGCACGCCCAUCCCGCUUCGGAACCUCAACGACCGUAGCAACAGUGAGUCAGAAACGGAGGAUGCGUGGAUGAACUGGAUCACACUGCGAAAGAAAAAAUAGUUUCGGGGAGGCACAUAAAUACAUUAGGACGGCGUGGUGGGCAUUUUGAUGUACUCUUUGUCCAAAGGCUUUUCCAGUGGAAACAUAUAGAGCAAAUGCCUUCAUGUUGUUUUCGUGUUGUUCUAUGAGAAACGUUUCUAAAACUCCCAAAUAAAUGAUCGAAGUCUACACACGCAUUUGCACAAAUCGUGUAUUUAAUCUUGCACAAUGUUUGCGAUAUUGGGCUGUGUGUUCAUGAUCAUGUAUGAUGAAGUCAGACACACCGAUGAAGGUCUUCCAUUAUGUAAAAUUUCAAACAGGGAAGCUACUGUAUGUUACAAUUUUCUAGUUCUAUUUCAACAAGGGACCAAAAUUCUCUUUGGAUACUAAUUUAUUACGCCAAGUGUGAGAUUUUAUUGCAUCCACGUUUAGCUUAAUGAUUAUUUCUUCCAGUGUUAAGAAUGAUGAAUGUGGUAGAAAUUGACAUUUUGGAAUGGAAUCAGUCACACAUUUUGAAUCUAAUAAAAGCAACUGUAGCAGCUGAUGUAGGCCACACCUCCACUGACACAAAUCACACCACCUAUGCUUGCUAUAACACACAAUUCCCUUAAAGUAAGAUUAAUAGGUUACAUAACAAAUAUCUAAUUUUGUCAAUGCAGAGCGGAUGUUUCCCAAAUAUAGUUUGCAUCCUCUGUCCUACUCCAAACACCUCCCAUUCCCAUUUCCGUCAUCAACACGGAGUAGAUUGGAAAUCCUGCAGUUCCCCCCCUGUAUUUUGUCCUAUUCCAAUUCUGGCAUUUUCUAUCCUGACUGUGUAUGUGACUUUAGAUAUUGUUUAUGAAAUAAACAUAUUUUAAAAUCAAAAA